rnacentral:rRNA from 1 species
AGUGAACGCUGGCGGCGUGCCUAAUACAUGCAAGUCGAACGGAGUGGCGCACGGGUGAGUAAUAUAUAGCUAAUCUGCCCCUUGCUGGAGGACAACAGUUAGAAAUGACUGCUAAUACUCCAUAGCAAGGGAUGAGACUAUAUCGUAUCAGCUAGUCGGUGGGGUAACGGCCUACCGAGGCUAUGACGCGUAACUGGUCUGAGAGGAUGAACAGUACCAUUGUAACUGAGAAACCGUUCAAACCACUACGGGAGGCAGCAGUAGGGAAUAUUGAUCAAUGGGCGAAUCCCUGACGCAGCAACGCCGCGUGGAGGAUGACACUUUUCUGAGAUGAAACUCCUUUUGUUAUGGAAGCGUUACCUAACUAAGAAGCACCGGCUAACUCCGUGCCAGCAGCCGCGGUAAUAC